rnacentral:pre_miRNA from 1 species
AUUUGAAUCACCUGAACAUCUUGUUAAAAUGCAGACUCUGACUCAGUAGGUCUGAGGUGGGACCAGAGAUCCUGCAUUUCUGACAAGCUCCCAGGUGAUGCCAAU